UACAGAGGUGGCAAGCGUUGUUCGGAAUUACUGGGCGUAAAGGGCGCGUAGGCGGUUCGUUAAGUCCUGUGUGAAAUCCCCCGGCUCAACUGGGGAACUGCACAGGAAACUAGCGGGCUUGAGUUCGGGAGAGGGAAGCGGAAUUCCGGGUGUAGCGGUGGAAAUGCGUAGAUAUCCGGAGGAACACCGGUGGCGAAGGCGGCUUCCUGGACCGACACUGACGCUGAGGCGCGAAGCUAGGGGAGCAAACGGGAU
rnacentral:rRNA from 1 species